AACUGCAGCUUAAAUUACAGUCUGACCUUUGGCUUGCUGGUGGGGCAACAUUUCCCUGACAUGGCCUUGUCAAACUGUCCUUUCUCUUUGCAAACCUCAAGAUAGGACGUAAUGUGCCAAGCAAGUUCUUCCAAAAAUCUUGCAGAGAACAAGCUGGCAACUUUUCCAGUAAUUUGUGGUUGUGAAAGAUGAAUAGUAGACAUUUCAGGAAAGGGAAGUGUCCUGGGGCAAUGCGUUAUAUAGAUAUUCACUUCUGGACUGGAAAUCUCAUUCUUGAGAUUUCACUGACCAGCAACACUCCAGUGAAACUGCAGUCAAAAUUUAUGGAGUCUGCAGUAAAUAUGAAGCUAAAGUAACAGCACUCUCCAGGAAAAGCUGCCUGCUAGAUAACAUGAAGACACGCCAGCAGCCUCAUGGGGGUGGAGGGAAGAGAGGCCUCAUGGUGAGGGACUGAGGCCUCCUACUAAAAGCCAGCACUAACUUGUCAGGCAUGAAAGUGAGCCACCUGGAAGCACAUCUUCAGCCCCUGUGGACCCUUUAGAUGACUGCAGGCCCUGCUGACAUCUUGACUGAAACCUCAUGAGACAGCUAGAACCAGAAUCGCCCAGAGAGAAGAACAUCAAAGGUGCGGGUUUAGGGCCCAGAAAGCCACUGGCCCCUUAAUAUCCAGAAAAGGACAAAAACUCACGGGAGUCAAGCACUGUUUGCCUGGAAGAAGAAAGAUAAAGACACAGACAAGCCCUGCUCCCCCACCAGCCAAAACUACUAUUCUACCUGUUUCCUGAUUCUGACCCACGUAUAUUCACUUGUUUCAUCAUUUUCUCAUUCAAAAAUAUAUUCAUUCAAUUAAUAAUGAUUUACUGAGUGUGUAUUAUGUAGCCAGUGCUUGCAUGGAACUCAGAUUACAGCUGGAAAUGAAACAGAUCUGGUCUUACACCCUCUGUACAUCUUCUUCCUCCUGUUACCACUCUAUCCUGUCUUCAACCUCAACUUCACUACUAAUUUCAUACUUAAUCAUAUCUUAACAGCUCUCAAUAAAAAUGUAAAAACAUAGA
rnacentral:lncRNA from 1 species